AUUGAACGCUGGCGGCAUGCUUUACACAUGCAAGUCGAACGGUAACAGGCCGCAAGGUGCUGACGAGUGGCGCACGGGUGAGUAAUGCAUCGGAACGUGCCCAGUCGUGGGGGAUAACUACUCGAAAGAGUAGCUAAUACCGCAUACGAUCUAUGGAUGAAAGCGGGGGACCGUAAGGCCUCGCGCGAUUGGAGCGGCCGAUGUCAGAUUAGGUAGUUGGUGGGGUAAAGGCUCACCAAGCCAACGAUCUGUAGCUGGUCUGAGAGGACGACCAGCCACACUGGGACUGAGACACGGCCCAGACUCCUACGGGAGGCAGCAGUGGGGAAUUUUGGACAAUGGGCGCAAGCCUGAUCCAGCAAUGCCGCGUGCAGAAGAAGGCCUUCGGGUUGUAAACUGCUUUUGUACGGAACGAAACGGCUCUGGUUAAUACCCGGGGCUAAUGACGGUACCGUAAGAAUAAGCACCGGCUAACUACGUG
rnacentral:rRNA from 1 species